CCAGUCCUAGUGGGGGCAGGAAAACACAGGACACACCAGUGAUGGAUAUAAAAUUCACAGAGAGGGGGCUCUUUGGAGAAGUUCAUCUCUGCACAAAGUCUACUGGCCUGAACCUUGUGGUGAAAGUUCUCAGCAGUAAAGAUCGGGAGAUGCCUUUAAAUGAAAUCCAAGUGAUGAACCAGUUGGAUCACCCUUAUAUCAUGCAGAUGUUUGAUGAGGUGGAGAUGCCCAAUGAGAUCUUUUUCAUUCUAGAAUAGCCUAUGGAAAAAGACAUAGUCGAAUGGACACUUUUGUAACACAUUUACGAGCACUUCAAGCACUUGCACAGCACUGGCAUCUUGUGGUGGAAUAUAGGCGACACGGCGACCAUCCAUGCUGCAGUGUUUGAUUUCUCCUCCCUGGCUACUGACAGCAUGUGAAGGAGGCUGUGGGGGCUGCUGCUGGACAUGCUGCUGCUGUUUGGCCUCUCUAUCUGGGCACGGCGCUGAGUGCAGGAGACAUAGCCUGCGGAAGAGAAGAUAUUCUGAAGCCGAACCCCUCUUUGCUUUCCCUUUAGCCACACUAACAGCCGACCCCUCAGUCCUCGGAAACUACAGAGCCAGAUGAAGAAGUCACUCGAUUCCUCUGUAUCGCUGGUACCUGCUAAUUAUUUUUCCCUGAACUGCAGCCCGCAGCGGUAAAACCUACUGGCAGCAUUAAGGAUUUGGAUUUUCAAGCAUGACUUGGGACACAACAGCCAAGCAUACGACGCAUUAACUCAAAUCCCAGAUCCUCGCAGGCAACGGGACUGUUUACGGCAUCUCAUAGUGGUUCUGUGUGAGAGCUCCCAGCUGCAAGACCUUGUAGAGUUUCCAUAUGUAAAUCACCAUAAUGAGGCUCCUCUCAGUUGGUCUGGUUCCCUUAUUCAGCUAUUGACCAUCUCCGGCAGACUCUGGACCAAGUGACCAACGCAGAAAAUAUUCCCCCGGACCAGAAACCGCUUUCAGAGACUUGUGUAAAUGCUGGUCUGCCAGGCGGAUGUCUAAGAAACAUCGGCAGAAGAUCCUCAUAAUGCAUCUGGAAAAAGAGACCGCACAAUCUAUAUACUCACCAUGCAAAAAACGAAAAGGAUCCAGUACUAAAGACAGACACGCUCCAGUAAUCAGGGGCCAACCCACAAGCAGCCAUCAUGGCACCACCUCUCCAAAAACCGAAAGCCCAACUGACCAUGCCCUCAACUCCAACUGUACUGAAGUAUGUCUGCGCUGUGCCAGCCACUGAGUGUUAAUCUCAGCAGUAGAUAACUGAUAGCAAUAGUGUGACACAGCAAUAGGGACCUUUUAUGAUAGGUUGGGACUCUUGACACAACAGGAUGUGCCCCUGAUUGGCUAAUGUUUCUUUUCUUUUAUAGCUAAUAAACUGUAGGUAACCUAAGGAGGUAAACCUAUUUUCCCAUGAAGCAAGUUGUAGGGAUACUGUAGCACUAGCUCAGCACUGCCCUGCCUUCAUGAUUUGCACUGUAAACUUACCAUAGUGUUGUUCAACCUUAGAGUGGACAAGGGUCCGUGACCUAUUUCCAUAAGUCAAUUAGCAGACUAGUAGUCAUCACGACUUUCACUUUCUUCCUUAGUUGGGUGCACGUCCUCCAAUGGCCACUUUCCACUGGCAAUACUGACAAAGAAGUGAGUCCAGCACCCGCAGUUGAUAAAGGACCCGCUUGAUAAAAGACCGCAUGGUCUGAAACGUUGCUGUAAUCCCCUUGCACCAAUAAAGGCUGUUUUAUUUAAAACUG